rnacentral:rRNA from 1 species
UACGUAGGGUGCGAGCGUUAAUCGGAAUUACUGGGCGUAAAGCGUGCGCAGGCGGUUAUGUAAGACAGGGGUGAAAUCCCCGGGCUUAACCUGGGAACUGCAUUUGUGACUGCAUAGCUAGAGUACGGUAGAGGGGGAUGGAAUUCCGCGUGUAGCAGUGAAAUGCGUAGAUAUGCGGAGGAACACCGAUGGCGAAGGCAAUCCCCUGGACCUGUACUGACGCUCAUGCACGAAAGCGUGGGGAGCAAACAGG